UACGUAGGUGGCAAGCGUUGUCCGGAUUUACUGGGCGUAAAGGGCGUGCAGGCGGUUUGUUAAGUCUAGGGUAAAAGCUCCCGGCUCAACUGGGAGAGGUCCUUGGAUACUGGCAGACUUGAGGGGGGUAGAGGAGAGUGGAAUUCCCGGUGUAGUGGUGAUAUGCGUAGAUAUCGGGAGGAACACCAGUGGCGAAGGCGGCUCUCUGGGCCCUACCUGACGCUGAGACGCGAAAGCGUGGGGAGCGAACAGG
rnacentral:rRNA from 1 species